UACGUAGGGGGCAAGCGUUGUCCGGAUUUAUUGGGCGUAAAGAGCGUGUAGGCGGCCAUGUAGGUCCGUUGUGAAAACUCGAGGCUCAACCUCGAGACGCCGAUGGAAACCAUGUGGCUAGAGUCCGGAAGAGGAGAGUGGAAUUCCUGGUGUAGCGGUGAAAUGCGCAGAUAUCAGGAGGAACACCCAUGGCGAAGGCAGCUCGCUGGGACGGUACUGACGCUGAGACGCGAAAGCGUGGGGAGCAAACAGG
rnacentral:rRNA from 1 species